AAUAGAUACCCAGGUAGUCCACCCCGUAAACGUUGGGAACUAGUUGUGGGGUCCUUUCCACGGAUUCCGUGACGCAGCUAACGCGUUAAGUUCCCCGCCUGGGGAGUACGGCCGCAAGGCUAAAACUCAAAGGAAUUGACGGGGACCCGCACAAGCGGCGGAGCAUGCGGAUUAAUUCGAUGCAACGCGAAGAACCUUACCAAGGCUUGACAUACACCAGAACACCCUAGAAAUAGGGGACUCUUUGGACACUGGUGAACAGGUGGUGCAUGGUUGUCGUCAGCUCGUGUCGUGAGAUGUUGGGUUAAGUCCCGCAACGAGCGCAACCCUCGUUCUAUGUUGCCAGCACGUAAUGGUGGGAACUCAUGGGAUACUGCCGGGGUCAACUCGGGAGGAAGGUGGGGGAUGACGUCAAAUCAUCAUGCCCCUUAUGUCUUGGGCUUCACGCAUGCUACAAUGGCCGGUACAAGGGCUGCAAUACCGUGAGGUGGAGCGAAUCCCAAAAAGCCGGUCCCAGUUCGGAUUGAGGUCUGCAACGUCGACCUCA
rnacentral:rRNA from 1 species